UCUUUCUUUGCUGGCGACCGGCGCACGGGUGAGUAACACGUAUCCAACCUGCCCUUUACUCGGGGAUAGCCUUUCGAAGGAAAGAUUAAUACCCGAUAGUAUAAUGAUUCCGCAUGGUUUCAUUAUUAAAGGAUUCCGGUAAAGGAUGGGGAUGCGUUCCAUUAGGUUGUUGGUGAGGUAACGGCUCACCAAGCCUUCGAUGGAUAGGGGUUCUGAGAGGAAGGUCCCCCACAUUGGAACUGAGACACGGUCCAA
rnacentral:rRNA from 1 species